rnacentral:lncRNA from 1 species
CCAUUUUUGUCACUGCGGCAGCAGCGCCGGUGGCAUGAAUCUAUUCUUGUUCCUGAGUGAGCAGGCAUAUAUUAUCCGAUCACCGCCUCCACUAGAGAGGAAAGACAGGUUUGGCUGCUGAAUGCGACAUCUCUGCACCUCUGUCGCCAUGGUUGGUGCUGCACUAGAUCCAUCCAGCCGCUGCUGCUGCUACCCAUCCUUUUUCUUUCCCCUCAAGGCACCUAUCUCAGCCUGGCAAGCAAAAGCAAAUACUGUCAUGGCAUCUUUCGCAUAUCAUACCUUAACCCAGUUGGAAGAUUCUCCCUGAAAUGUGGCUUGAAUCAUGCUAGAAUGUGGCAAGGUAGCCCACAAGUGAUGGGUAGAUUUUGCAUCUGAAAAAUGCAUUCAGAUGAGCUACUAAUGCUUAGGCAGCUAAAGAUGGUGACGUUUUUUUGUAGAUCAUCAUGACAUUACUAAUCAUUGGUGAAAUGAACUGUAGCACGUCAGGAAAAAUAGUUCCAUCGAUUUAGACAGGUAGCAUAUGAG